rnacentral:rRNA from 1 species
UACGUAGGGUGCAGGCGUUUAAUCGGAAUUACUGGGCGUAAAGCGUGCGCAGGCGGUCUUUUAAGUCAGAUGUGAAAUCCCCGGGCUUAACCUGGGAACUGCGUUUGAAACUGGAAGGCUAGAGUGUGGCAGAGGGGGGGUGGAAUUCCACGUGGUAGCAGUGAAAUGCGUAGGAGAUGUGGAGGAACACCGAUGGCGAAGGCAGCCCCCUGGGCUAACACGUGACGCUCGAUGCACGAAAGCGUGGGGAGCAAA